rnacentral:lncRNA from 1 species
UUCGAACUUAAUUUACAUACAUCAAAGUUUACUUCCCCAGGUACGUGACCUUCAAAUACAUUCCUUACAAUACCUGACAAUAGAUUCCAUUGUCUUACUAACUAUAACCAUUAACUCAUACUAAAUCUCAUUCGAACAGCUUUUCUUUUCCCUUGUUCGUGCCUGAGCCUUCAGGUCGAUCGUACGUAACUGAAAACAUUUAGUUUAAGCAAGGAUGAGCAUUUGAGUGCCCAGCAAGUAAUAGUAAUUAUAUAUAUAAGCUGAAAGAAUAUAAGUAUUCUCUUUCCAUAACACUUCUACAACGAAUCAAAAGUUGUGAAGUAAUCCGUACU